AUUGAACGCUGGCGGCAUGCCUUACACAUGCAAGUCGAACGGCAGCACGGGUGCUUGCACCUGGUGGCGAGUGGCGAACGGGUGAGUAAUACAUCGGAACAUGUCCUGUAGUGGGGGAUAGCCCGGCGAAAGCCGGAUUAAUACCGCAUACGAUCUACGGAUGAAAGCGGGGGACCUUCGGGCCUCGCGCUAUAGGGUUGGCCGAUGGCUGAUUAGCUAGUUGGUGGGGUAAAGGCCUACCAAGGCGACGAUCAGGAGCUGGUCUGAGAGGACGACCAGCCACACUGGGACUGAGACACGGCCCAGACUCCUACGGGAGGCAGCAGUGGGGAAUUUUGGACAAUGGGCGAAAGCCUGAUCCAGCAAUGCCGCGUGUGUGAAGAAGGCCUUCGGGUUGUAAAGCACUUUUGUCCGGAAAGAAAUCCUUGGCCCUAAUACGGUCGGGGGAUGACGGUACCGGAAGAAUAAGCACCGGCUAACUACGUG
rnacentral:rRNA from 1 species